CCCCGGGGCCCCACCCAUCACCCCCAGGAACAAACUGUCCUUCAGCCUGCUCACCGUCUCCAGUCUGGAGCUGAACGGGAUGGGGGUUGAUAAAGGAGAGACUCCUCCCCCCCUGCCCGUGAAGGGCAUCUCUGCUGAUUAUGGGAACCUGCUAGGAGAUAAUCAAGACUUGACGAGUCCCUCCACCCCUCCCCUGACACACCAUCAAAGGCAUUUGCCACCUCCUCUUCCCAGCAAGACCCCUCCUCCCCUCCCCCUAAGACCACCAGGAAACAAGCCUCCAUCGAUUCAGGAAUUGUACAAUAAACAAUGACAUUAAGACACCCGAUUUAAAACACACAAGGUU